rnacentral:rRNA from 1 species
AUUGAACGCUGGCGGCAUGCCUUACACAUGCAAGUCGGACGGCAGCACGGGAGCAAUCCUGGUGGCGAGUGGCGAACGGGUGAGUAAUACAUCGGAACGUGUCCUGGAGUGGGGGAUAGCCCGGCGAAAGCCGGAUUAAUACCGCAUACGCUCUAUGGAGGAAAGCGGGGGAUCUUUCGGGACCUCGCGCUCAAGGGGCGGCCGAUGGCAGAUUAGCUAGUUGGUGGGGUAAAGGCCUACCAAGRCGACGAUCUGUAGCUGGUCUGAGAGGACGACCAGCCACACUGGGACUGAGACACGGCCCAGACUCCUACGGGAGGCAGCAGUGGGGAAUUUUGGACAAUGGGCGCAAGCCUGAUCCAGCAAURCCGCGUGUGUGAAGAAGGCCUUCGGGUUGUAAAGCACUUUUGUCCGGAAAGAMAACCUCCUGGUUAAUACCCGGGGGGGAUGACGGUACCGAAAGAAUA